AUGCUCAUUUCAGCAGUACAUACACUAAAGCUGGCCCUUUACAGAGAAGAUGAGCAUGGCCCCUGUUCAAGGAUGGCAUGCAAAUUUGUGAACUGUUCCAGAUCUUU